GUAUAGAAAAGUGAAAACAAACACCCGUACGGUUGCACGGGUCAAAAUCUAGUGUCAAUUACACUAAAAAAAAAAGAACCAAUCAAUCUUUCUCCUACUUUUAGUUUUUUUUUUUAAAGAAAAUUAUUCUUGAGAUGCUAUUUGGCUGGGCCGUUGGAAGUGGGUGUUUUUUUCAAAACUACUGCAUUUAAAUGUGAUUUUUCAUAUUACCAAAACAAAAGUUCAGUUUUAUACAACUAUAUAUUUGAUCACUAGUAUCAGCAGAGCUGUGCCAAAACAUUUUGACGCUCUAUGCAAAAUACAAUUUAUAGAAUAAUAUUUAAUUAAAUUGUUUAUAAUAAAUAACAUAAAUAAUAUUUUUUUAAAUUAAUAUAAGAUAUUAAAAUACAUGUUUAUUUUUAUAUUUGACGUAAUGACGUGUAAAUAUAAACCUGUACAUACAAAAUAGUUUCAAUAUAAACUAAUUUUAAUAUAGUUGUAAAGAAAGCUUUGAUGAAUAAAUAAGAAAAUCGAAAUAGAUAAAAGGGGCCCUAGAUAAAAAGCAAAAUAUGGUAAGAAAAUAAAUGACUGUGUAUAAAUUUAGAGAUACAGUCAUACAAAGUAGAAAAAAAUCAAAGGGUCUAACUGGUGACCAAAGAAUGAAAGAGAAUAAUGCAUUCUUUACUAUUCCUAAUUCUUUUUACCAUUUAAAAAGAAUAUUUUUUUUCUUUUCAUUCUUUUCAUUCUAGAGGAAUGUGAAACAAUUUUUUUUUCAUCAAAAUUGAUAAAAAAAUAAUCUUCCAUUUCAUUCAUAUAAUUUUAUUCCUCUGUUUUUUUUUCUACUUAUUCCUAAUUUUUCUAUAAUAAUCACCAGUUAGAUCCAAAGUUUUAUAAAAUGUGAAUAUAAUUGUAAUUAAUUGACUUUGAAAAUUAAAUUUUAAUUAUAAAAAAUGAUCAGCUGAUAUAGCUAGGUUCAAGUAAAAAUGCUUCUCAAAGAAGUUUUAUUUUCAGAUAAACCAACCAUGUACAAUAAUUUAUGUGUAAUUAUGCCAUGUAAAUCUUUUAAUUUUUUUUUUUACUUAAGCGAAUGUUUCAUAUUUUCCGUACUAGGCACAUCACUGAGUAUCAGUCUCAGGUGAAGUCCAGGAGAUAAAUAAACAAAUAACUAUUGAUCAUAUAUAUCAAAACUAAAAACAGUAGAUGUUAUGAGAUUUGAUAGAUUACGACUAUUUUAAAAUUAAUGUAUAUAAGGUAAAGUUUAUUUUAUAAGUAAAAAUUUUAGUAGAUAAGCUAUAAAUUUUGAAUAUAUGAGUUUAGUGACUGUUGAAUAAAACAGAGAGACCCCAUUAGAUUUCGAAAUUUUCCACCAAAUUCAGUCAUGAUAUCGCAGCUUUGAUUCAAUUAAUUAAUGUAGAUUAGGGUUUCAUUAUCUUCCCGUAUUACAAUUUUCGUGUUUUUCUUCAUCAGUUUCUUCUUUAUUUGCUUUUCUUUGAAGAACAUAAAAAAAAUAAGUGUAUACAAAUCUUGUUUUUUUUUCUUGUAAAAUUCUGACUCUCUCUUUUUUUUUUUGGUCAACGACUCUCUCUUUAUUUCUUUCUUCUAGCCUUGCUUUACUUCGAAAAAAAAGGAAAAAUAGUAAAAGAUAAAUGUUAUUGAUCAAAAGAAAAAGUAAAAGAUUUGACCCAAAAAAAGAGGUAAAAGAUAAAUGUUCAUAUCAUACUACAAAGAAGACAGUGUUAAAUGAUUGGACAUAUUCAUGUGGAUUAGGAGGAUGGACUGAUAGAAUCGUUAUAAUUCACUGAUUUAAAUCUUGAGUUAUUUUCACUCUAUGGCUAAGACACUUUAUUCUACUAGGAUAGUUUUUUUAAAUCAAUUUGCCUAAAUGCAUAAGAAAAAGUGAAAUUAGAUACUUAUAGUUAAGAUUUACCUUUUUGUUCGGUUAUAUUUUUGAAUUAUGAAUUAAUUAUAGAAAAUAGAUAUAAAAUAAAAGUCAACUAAAUUUAAUUUUCCACGCACUUAUCUGAAAUAACUUGUGUUAUCCCCCACACAACCAAUUUUUUUAUCAUUACUCCAUCUGUUCCUUAAAGAUACAUAUUUUAGAAAAAAAUUUUGUUUCUAAAAGAUUCAUUUUUUACAUUUUCAAUGCAUGUUUUAUUAACUAAUUGCAAACUUCAAAAAUCUUAAUUGCACUAAUUGAUUUUUUAUUGGCUUAAAAUUGUGGAAAGAAGAUAAACACAAAAAAAUAUGCAAAUUUAAUGUGUUUUAUUAAAAUGUGCGAAAAAACUAGAAUAUAGAUAUUUUAUGAACAAAAUUUUGGAGUGACAGACAUAGUGGAGAAGAUGAUGAGACGUAAACGGUAAGUGCUUUGGAUUUUUUUGUUUUAUUUGUGUUUUUGUAGGAAAGAAGAAAACCAAAUCUAUGUUUACUUGGAGAGCCACCAGUGGUUGGGGAAUCCGACGAACAACUACCGGGGACAUUAUCUUCUCCGCCGGAGGUCGGAUCAAGCUUCACUGACAACGUUUAUGUCAUCUUUGUCUCAAGUCUUACCUUGUCGUCACUGGUUCAUCUCCGACCGGCAGUCCAUGGGCACAAAAUAAAUCUCGAGCAACAAUGUCUAACUUUGACUUUCUUGCACAUUUAGUCCUUCGGUUUUUGUAUAAUUUUGUUUUGGCUCUAAACUUUUUGUUUUAUAGAAAGGUCCUAUUGAUUUUGCCUCUAGUUUCCAACUACCUUUUGUCAGACCCUAUCAAAUAUAAAUGAACAAAUACACACUAAAUACCUCUAAAUGAGUCCUAAAAUUACUUAAAUGAACUAAAAACAAAUGUACUCAUUAAAAUCAUGACAUAUCACUUAGUUUGCGUACCAUGUACAAAUAAAAUGGUGUAGAUACGAAAUAUUGAACAUUAGUGUACAUUUGGAUACAUAGUGCACACAUUUACACUUUGAUGAUAGUAUACACAUGUACACUAUAAUGGAUACAUUGUGUAAGGUGGACAUGUUUUUAAAAAUAUACAAAAAUGCUCAUCAAAAAAAAGAUUAUACAUUCAGAUACAUCUUGUACAUGUAUACACUAUGAUAUUGUUGUCCACAUGAAACUCUGUAAGGUAGACAUAUUUCAAAAAGAUUACAAAUGUAACUUUACAAAUGUAAAAAGCAUUUACAGAUGCAUUACACUUUGAAAUAUUACAAGUAGCUCAAUAAUGAACAUAUCUACAUGUACACUUGUUUACCAAUAUUGACAUGUACAUUUUACCAUGCUUUGAAAUUAAAUUAGACAUUUACGAAUAUGUAAUAUGAAUUUAAAAGUUUCAACAUUGUAUGAUCAAGUAUCGAAUAUAUGUACACCAAAUUUAUGCUUCAGGAGAAUUCAAAGCAAAGUCCAAAUUGUUUUAAUUAUGUAACUUUUGAUACUUUCGAAUAGAUUUAGAGAUAUUGUUUGAAUUUGUGAACAAUAAGUACAUGAUUUGUUGGUUAUAAAGAAAGAAAUUCAGUUGUAGAUAGUUGUUUUCUUGUUAUUCUACUAGGAUAGUUUUUUUAAAUCAAUUGCCUAACUGCAUAAGAAAAAGUGAAAUUAGAUACUUUAUAGUUAAGAUUUACCUUUUUGUUCGGUUAUAUUUUUGAAUUAUGAAUUAAUUAUAGAAAAUAGAUAUAAAAUAAAAGUCAACUAAAUUUAAUUUUUCACGCACUUAUCUGAAAUAACUUGUGUUAUCCACCAUACAACCAAUUUUUUAUUAUUAUUAUUUAGAGGAGAAACAAAAAGAAAUAUGAGAAAAUUCCAACUUUCAAUUAAACAAAAUUUUGGACUAACAUACGUAGUGGAGAAGAUGAUGACACGUAAACGUCCGGAGAAAGAAACUGUGUCUAUGAGCCACCAGUGGUGGGGGAAUCCAACGAACAACUACCGGUGACAUUAUCUUCUACGCCGGAGGUCAAGGAUCAAGCUUCACUGACAACGUUUAUGUCAUCUUUGUCUCAAGUCUUACCUCGUCGUCACUGGUUCUUCUCCGACCGGCAGUCCAUGGGCGCAAAAUAAAUCUCGAGCAACAAUAGCUAACUUUGACUUUCUUGCACAUUUAGUCCUUCGGUUUUUGUAUAAUUUUGUUUUGGCUCUAAACUUUUUGUUUUACAGAAACGUCCUAUUGAUUUUGCCUCUAGUUUCCAACUACUUUUUGUCAGACCCUAUCAAAUGUAAAUGAACAAAUACACACUAAAUACC